GAAAAAACUACAUCACUUUUCUUGGUUCCGAAGCGCUAAAAUUACCGUCGAUAAAUAGAAUAGACAAUUCAAGGCAAGACUUGUAACAAGAAAAAAAAGAUUUAUCCCUCACAUAGCAAGGCGUUUUUAUUAGGCUUAGAAUAUUUGGUCUUCAAAAACAGUAAAGCUCGUCCAAGCCAAAAAUACUUGGUCUCAUCGGUGGUAACGAUUGUUUGAUUCUAUUUACAAACUGCCUUUCUUUCUAAGAUUGCUGCGGAGCUUUUCUACUUUGCCUAAGAAAAAUGAAAUCGGCAGUGCAUGUCUUAUGACAAAAAAAUUUUUGCCCAAGAAUAUAAUUACUUACUGCUCGACUCGCUUAUUGUCAAUCCUCCUUUAAUACCAAAGUCUAUUUCUACAUAUUUGGUAGCACGAUCAUAGAAUUUACGCCAAACGAACGUAAAUUUCAAUUCCAAUCUAAUAAAUCGUUUGUAUGUCACUUAAUCGCUCUCAUCGUUUCUUCAUUCCCGACAUCAUAUUUUUUAAUACUUACCGUAACAAAAUAAACAAGGGUAAAAUUGUCUGGAAACAAAAUUACAAUACAAUUUUGAUAAUUGACUUUCUUUUGCAAUGUGCCGUAUACCUCCUUUUAUAAGAUAAGAUCCUCGGAUAUUGCAGAGAAACACCAACGACUCCUACGAUUAUAGGAUCCUUCCGCACCAUUUUAGUGCCCCAGUGUGGGAACUUAAUAGAUACAACAGAGAUAACGAUAAGGUGAACAAAUAUGAAAUGCAUCUAAACGUUAAACGACAUACAGCAUGUGCAUUGUUAAUACCCGUGGAGAAGACAGAGCAAAGAACACUAGGAUUUUUUCUUUUAUCCACGGCACAAUCAACUAUGAUAUUUCACAUUACAGCCAUAAUAGUGACAAAAUAGAAAUGAACGUAGCUUGUUAAACCCAUUGAGUAUCCUGUCCGACAAACAAGCUGUCCCUAUAACACUAAAAAAUGGAAGAAAUUUCGAUAAUUCAAAAUUAAGUAAACAGCAGGUUUUUAAAACCCACGAAUACAACCAAAAUUUACACAAGACAGACAAAUACAACCAACACAUAACAUGAAUAAUAUUAAAAUGAAU